rnacentral:rRNA from 1 species
AACGAACGCUGGCGGCAGGCUUAACACAUGCAAGUCGAACGCGUGUAGCAAUACACGAGUGGCGCACGGGUGAGUAACGCGUGGAUAUCUGCCUUUUGGUUCGGAAUAACCCCGGGAAACUGGGGCUAAUACCGGAUGGUUCCUUCGGGAUAAAGAUUAUCGCCAAAAGAUGAGUCCGCGUACGAUUAGCUAGUUGGUGAGGUAAUGGCUCACCAAGGCGACGAUCGUUAGCUGGUCUGAGAGGACGAUCAGCCACACUGGGACUGAGACACGGCCCAGACUCCUACGGGAGGCAGCAGUGGGGAAUAUUGGACAAUGGGGGCAACCCUGAUCCAGCCAUGCCGCGUGAGUGAUGAAGGCCUUCGGGUUGUAAAGCUCUUUUGGCGGGGACGAUGAUGACGGUACCCGCAGAAUAAGCCCCGGCUAACUUCGUGCCAGCAGCCGCAGUAAAAC